UCACAAUUUACAAUUUAUUCCCUUCUUAAUUUGCAAUUUAUUUGCCUCUUAAUUUGACUUUUUUCCCUCUCAAUCUGCAAUUUAUUCCCUUCUCAGUUUGCACUUUUCCCUCUCUCAGUUUGCACUUUUUUCCCCCCUCAAAUUGUAAUUUAUUCCUUUCUCCAUUUGCACUUUUCUCCCUCAAACUUUCCCUUUUUUCCUUUAAAUUCUGUAUUUUUAUCCCAUUUUUCCCCUCACUUUUAUCCCAUUUUCCCGUUGAAAAAUCCACAUUUUCCUCCCCAGUUCUGUACCAAAAAUCCCCCAUUUUUAUCCCAUUUUCCCUUUCCAAAACCCCAAAUUUCAAUCCCCAAUUCCCCAUUUCUCCCUUUUCUGCUCAUUUCCCCGUUUUUACCCCAUUUUUUACCAUUUUCACCCCAUUUUUCCCCACCCAGGGGCCGCAAAUUGACUCCUCAGGGGCAGCGGGACCUGGAUCGCAUCGCUGGGCAGGUCGCCGCCGCCAGCAAGAAACACUGAGGGAACCAAAAAUAAACCAAAAUAAAAUGAGUGUUUUUGUCCAAAAUCGGGGAAAACAGCCCCAAAAUCAACCUGAGCGGGGAAUGCUGGCAGGGUGGGAAACCCCCCAAAAAGGGAGGAAAAAUUUCAAUUAAUUAAAAAUCCUAAAUUA